rnacentral:lncRNA from 1 species
CUAAAUUAUCCUUAAUAAAAGACCACGCAUACUUCAUCAGAAAUAAUUGGAUGUUAUCCUCAUAUCCUAACCCUUGUUACAGACGGAUACCUCCGAGUUUAACUGCUGCGAACAUAUCUUUAUUUAUAAUUUUUUUCCUGUCAAAAUGAUGUGGAUGCUUGAGCAUCUGAGCAUACAUGCAAGCUACGCCACUGAAUUUUACGGAAUAUCUUCGACUUAUGAGUUUUUACUCUUCCCUUGGUGUCUUCCGCCUUUUUGUAAUGUAUUGCUAGUAGAAUAGUGCCGGAUUCAUCUAUAUGGUCUGAUAACAGGAACACUGGGUUAGGUUGUGCAUAUUUUUGACAAUUAACAGCUCUAUUAAUAUUUUG